rnacentral:rRNA from 1 species
GACGAACGCUGGCGGCGUGCUUAACACAUGCAAGUCGAGCGGUAAGGCCCUUUCGGGGGUACACGAGCGGCGAACGGGUGAGUAACACGUGGGUGACCUGCCCUUAGCUCUGGGAUAAGCCUGGGAAACUGGGUCUAAUACCGGAUAUGACUCCAUGACGCAUGUUGUGGGGUGGAAAGCCUUGUGCGGCUAGGGAUGGGCCCGCGGCCUAUCAGCUUGUUGGUGGGGUGAUGGCCUACCAAGGCGACGACGGGUAGCCGGCCUGAGAGGGCGACCGGCCACACUGGGACUGAGACACGGCCCAGACUCCUACGGGAGGCAGCAGUGGGGAAUCUUGCGCAAUGGGCGAAAGCCUGACGCAGCGACGCCGCGUGAGGGAUGACGGCCUGGUUGUAAC